rnacentral:snoRNA from 1 species
ACGACCUUACUUGAACAGGAUCUGUUCUAUAGUAUUUGUACCUCUGUAUCUUUGAGUUCUAAAGAGACAGAAAACCAAGUCUGGUGGAUGAAUCAUGACCGUGUGUUCUGAGCGUGAUUAACGGCUGCUGUUGAUCCUUGGAUCACUGUUUGCUGUAGAUGAUCGUUCCCCUGUUCCUUUGUGAGCUAGGGAUGUUCACACGGUUGUCUGACAGACU